rnacentral:rRNA from 1 species
AAUCAACGCUGGCGGCGUGCCUAACACAUGCAAGUCGAGCGAGAAAGGGGCUUCGGCCCUGAGUACAGCGGCGCACGGGUGAGUAACACGUGGGUAACCUACCCUGGAGUGGGGAAUAACAUCGGGAAACCGGUGCUAAUACCGCAUACGAUUGCGGGGUCUUCGGAUCCUGUAAUGAAAGGCGAAAGUCGCUCCUGGAUGGGCCCGCGCCCGAUUAGCUAGUUGGUGAGGUAACGGCNCACCAAGGCUUCGAUCGGUAGCCGGUCUGAGAGGACGGUCGGCCACACUGGAACUGACACACGGUCCAGACUCCUACGGGAGGCAGCAGUGGGGAAUUUUCGCAAUGGGGCAACCCUGACGAAGCAACGCCGCGUGGGUGAUGAAGUAUCUCGGUACGUAAA